UACGUAGGGACCAAGCGUUGUUCGGAGUUACUGGGCGUAAAGGGUGUGUAGGCGGUUAUUUAAGUUUGGUGUGAAAUCUCCCGGCUCAACCGGGAGGGUGCGCCGAAUACUGAAUGACUUGGAGUGCGGGAGAGGUGAGUGGAAUUCCUGGUGUAGCGGUGAAAUGCGUAGAUAUCAGGAGGAACACCGGUGGUGUAGACGGCUCACUGGACCGUAACUGACGCUGAGACACGAAAGCGUGGGUAGCAAACAGG
rnacentral:rRNA from 1 species